CAUGUUGCGCAAAAAGCCCAAAUCGGGCUUUCAAAAAAAGAAAGAAAGGAAUGAAAAAGAAAGGAGGCAGAAUGAGGGGAAGCAGCUGAUGACUGCUUUCUUUCCAAAAGUUUCAGAAACAACCAGUGGUUCUGACACACCAGCAGUACUAGCAGCACUGGCCAGUCCUGGCUGCUGUUCUGGAGAUGAGGCUGAGACUGAGAGCAGAAAUGAGGAAAGACAAGAAAGUUCUGCACUUGAUGCAGAAGACAUGGCAGGGUGCGAGUCUGAUGAUGUGAGAGAAGGUGAGCUCAUAGAGGCAACUUUAAGUUAUUACCAACAAUCAUGUGCUGUAGCAGUUUCAACUGAAAUGAGCAGCAGUCUACUAUUAUCAUACUACUAUCAUACUACGACAUACUACUACUAUUAUAGUACUAUUAUCAAGUAGGAUGAAUUAUUACAUGUGAGACUACAAUAAGGUUGAGGCUAACAUAAAUAAUGUAUAUUUCAUGCUUGUAGAUGUAUUUGAGAGUAGUGAGGAGGCUGGGGAGAGAGAAAAGGAAGGGCAAAGUGAGGGAAAUGAAGAGGCUGGGGAGAGAGAAAAGGAAGGGCAAAGUGAGGGAAAUGAAGAGGAGUUGUCAGAGGACCCAGGACUGUGGCCAGAGAAGCUAACUGCUCAGCAGAGAGAUACUCUAGUUUGCAGACUGGCUAGU